GGGUUGUGAGGUUAAGCGACUAAGCGUACACGGUGGAUGCCCUGGCAGUCAGAGGCGAUGAAGGACGUGCUAAUCUGCGAUAAGCGUCGGUAAGGUGAUAUGAACCGUUAUAACCGGCGAUUUCCGAAUGGGGAAACCCAGUGUGUUUCGACACACUAUCAUUAACUGAAUCCAUAGGUUAAUGAGGCGAACCGGGGGAACUGAAACAUCUAAGUACCCCGAGGAAAAGAAAUCAACCGAGAUUCCCCCAGUAGCGGCGAGCGAACGGGGAGGAGCCCAGAGCCUGAAUCAGUGUGUGUGUUA
rnacentral:rRNA from 1 species